AUGGAGGAGGCAUGGCGACUGUCUUUCGAGUUCUUUUUCUUCCAGAUGGUCCAUCAGCCGAGCUGCAAACUGCAUCAACCAUUGGAACAUUUGGAUGCCUGGAUGACUCACCAACUGCCUUCUUGUUUUUAUCGGCCUGCUGGCUCUCAUGGCGAUCCUUCUGAGAGGAGGAAGGUUUAGGUCUAUCUACUUCAGCUGGGAUGCCAAGCACACUA
rnacentral:lncRNA from 1 species